rnacentral:rRNA from 1 species
UACAGAGGGGGCAAGCGUUGUUCGGAAUUACUGGGCGUAAAGGGCGCGUAGGCGGCCUGCUAAGUCACACGUGAAAUCCCUCGGCUCAACCGGGGAACUGCGUCUGAUACUGGAUGGCUUGAGUUCGGGAGAGGGAUGCGGAAUUCCAGGUGUAGCGGUGAAAUGCGUAGAUAUCUGGAGGAACACCGGUGGCGAAGGCGGCAUCCUGGACCGACACUGACACUGAGGAGCGAAAGCCAGGGGAGCAAACGGG